rnacentral:rRNA from 1 species
AGUGAACGCUGGCGGUAGGCCUAACACAUGCAAGUCGAACGGCAGCACAGUAAGAGCUUGCUCUUACGGGUGGCGAGUGGCGGACGGGUGAGGAAUACAUCGGAAUCUACUUUUUCGUGGGGGAUAACGUAGGGAAACUUACGCUAAUACAGCAUCCGAUCUACGGGUGAAAGCAGGGGAACUUCGGACCUUGCGCGAUUGAAUGAGCCGAUGUCGGAUUAGUUAGUUGGCGGGGUAAAGGCCCACCAAGGCGACGAUCCGUAGCUGGUCUGGGAGGAUGAUCAGCCACACUGGAGCUGGGACACGGUCCAGACUCCUACGGGAGGCAGCAGUGGGGAAUAUUGGACAGUGGGCGCAAGCCUGAUCCAGCCAUACCGCGUGGGUGAAGAAGGCCUUCGGGUUGUAAAGCCCUUUUGUUGGGAAAGAAAAGCAGCAGGUUAAUACCCCGCUGUUCUGACGGUACCCAAAGAAGAAGCACCGGCUAACUUCGUG